CCCAAAUUUAUUUAUUUAUUUAUUUAUUUUUAAAUUUUGACCCCAGAGUGUGUCAGAUCCGCCACAAAUACAGAAAAUCCACUGUUCACACGGACAGAGUCUCCCCUGUAUUUGCAUGGCGUCGCACAAGUACAAUAUACAACCACAACCGUAUGAGCAUACACAUAUAUUCACCAUUCACAUUUACAUUGAUUUCAUUACAAAUAUCUAUAAAUACACAUCUAUUAGUUUAAAACGUUUCCCACUCGGAAACUCCUUUUGAAGUACUAAGAGUCAUGAAAACCAAUAAAAAUCUUUUCAAAACCGUUUCCCACACGGAAACUCUUUUUUUUUAAAAC
rnacentral:lncRNA from 1 species